rnacentral:rRNA from 1 species
CCCAGACUCCUACGGGAGGCAGCAGUGGGGAAUAUUGCACAAUGGGGGAAACCCUGAUGCAGCGACGCCGCGUGAGUGAAGAAGUAAUUCGUUAUGUAAAGCUCUAUCAGCAGGGAAGAAAAUGACGGUACCUGAGUAAGAAGCCCCGGCUAACUACGUGCCAGCAGCCGCGGUAAUACGUAGGGGGCAAGCGUUAUCCGGAUUCACUGGGUGUAAAGGGAGCGUAGACGGCGGCGCAAGUCUGGAGUGAAAGCCCGGGGCCCAACCCCGGGACUGCUCUGGAAACUGUCCGGCUGGAGUGCAGGAGAGGUAAGUGGAAUUCCUAGUGUAGCGGUGAAAUGCGUAGAUAUUAGGAGGAACACCAGUGGCGAAGGCGGCUUACUGGACUGUAACUGACGUUGAGGCUCGAAAGCGUGGGGAGCAAACAGGAUUAGAUACCCUCGUACUG